rnacentral:rRNA from 1 species
UACGGGGGGGCAAGCGUUGUUCGGAAUUACUGGGCGUAAAGGGCUCGUAGGCGGCCAACUAAGUCAGACGUGAAAUCCCUCGGCUUAACCGGGGAACUGCGUCUGAUACUGGAUGGCUUGAGUUUGGGAGAGGGAUGCGGAAUUCCAGGUGUAGCGGUGAAAUGCGUAGAUAUCUGGAGGAACAUCGGUGGCGAAGGCGGCAUCCUGGACCAACACUGACGCUGAGUGAGCGAAAGCCAGGGGAGCAAACGGGG